CUUUGUCUGUUGAAUGGUUAAAGCUGGUGCCAUACCGUACUGGCGUAUGAACAUUAUCAGAACCCAGAAGCAUCUUCUCAUCGACAGGCCAUUUUAAUCUCAUGGAUGACACAGGGUCUAAGCAAAGGAUCGUGUAAGAGGGAGAGAUCAAUGACUGGGAGUGUGAUGGUAUCUGUGCCACUGCUUGAACCGAGCAUUGGUCGUUGUGAAGGUGGAAGAAUGUAACGGGUAGGCACGCGAAGGACACCUGACUCGGGGAGACAAAGAAGAUAAGAGUAGAAAGAAAGUGGUGAGAUUCAAUGGAAGGAGGAAGAAGGAAAUGAACAAAAAUAAUACUCUAGAAAAUAAGUGGUGACAAUUGAGAGAUAGUUUCAACUUGGUGUGGGUGGUGACAAAAUUCAAUCUGCCACUUCUUUUCCCAAGUAAUGAAAUGUUUUUUAAACAUCUUUAACUUUGAGAAGUCUCUUCUGAAACGCGUUAAGUCGGGCUUAUGUCGGUGUUUGGGCCAAGGAAUUGUUAGCCCACCUUCGGCCGCAUCCGUCGUUUUAUAUCCAUGGGACUUUUUUCCCUUCUUUUUUUUUGUCUACUAUUUUUCUUUAU